GAAAUGCGAUAAGUAAUGUGAAUUGCAGAAUUCAGUGAAUCAUCGAAUCUUUGAACGCACAUUGCGCCCGCCAGAAUUCUGGCGGGCAUGCCUGUUCGAGCGUCAUUUCAACCCUCGAGCUCCCCUUUCGGGGGGAGCCCGGCGUUGGGGACCCGGCGCUAACAACGCCGGCCCCGAAAUGGAGUGGCGGCCCGUCCGCGGCGACCUCUGCGUAGUAACAACCACUCGCACCGGGACCCGGGCGCGGCCACGCCAUAAAACACCCCACCUUCCGAAUGUUGACCUCGAAUCAGGUAGGAAUACCCGCUGAACUUAAGC
rnacentral:misc_RNA from 1 species